AUGCGGUAUGACGGUACCCUUUCGAAUAAGAGGUUGCUAACUCUGUGCCAGCAGCAGCGGUAAUACAGAGACCUCGAGCGUUAUCCGGAUUUACUGGGCGUAAAGCGUCUGUAGGGGGUUUGUUAAGUUCCAAGUAAAAUCUUAAGGCUCAACUUUAAGUUCGCUUGGAAAACUAAUAAACUGGAGUCCAGCAGAGGUGCAUGGAACUUGCGGUGUAGGAGUGAAAUCCGUUGAUAUCGCAAGGAACACCAAAGGCGAAGGCAUUGCACUGGGCUGGUACUGACCCUGAGAGACGAAAGCGUGGGGAGCAAAACGGAUUAGAUACCCGUGUAGUCCACGCCGUAAACGAUGGAUACUAGAUGUUCGGGGAUUCGACCCCCUGGGUGUCACAGCUAACGCGUUAAGUAUCCCGCCUGGGAAGUACGGCCGCAAGGCUAAAACUCAAAGGAAUAGACGGGGAUCCGCACAAGCGGUGGAGCGUCUGGUUUAAUUUGAUAGUAAGCAAUGGACCUCACCAAGGUUUGACAUCCUAUGACAACCCUGGAAACAGGGCUUCCUUCGGGCAUAGUGACAGGUGCUGCAUGGUCGUCGUCAGUUCGUGCCAUGAGGUGUUCCGUUAAGUCGGGAAACGAACGAAACCCUCGUCGCAUGUUACAAAUUUCAUGCGAGACUGCCCGGGUCAACCGGGAGGAAGGCGGGGAUGACGUCAGAUCAGCAUGGCCCUUAUACCUUGGGCUACACUGGCGCUACAAUGGCCGGUACAAAGGGUUGCAAAACCGCGAGGUGAAGCUAAUCCCAUAAAGCCGGUCCAAGUUCGGAUUGGAGGCUGCAACUCGCCUCCAUGAAGUUGGAAUCGCUAGUAAUCGUGGAUCAGCCAUACCACGGUGAAUACGUUCCCGGAUCUUGUACUCGCCGC
rnacentral:rRNA from 1 species